rnacentral:rRNA from 1 species
UUGCACGCUGGCGGCAUGCUUUACCCAUGCAAGUCGCACGGCAGCGCGGGCUUCGGCCUGGCGGCGAGUGGCGAACGGGUGAGUAAUACAUCGGAACGUGCCCAGUAGUGGGGGAUAGCUCGGCGAAAGCCGGAUUAAUACCGCAUACGACCUGAGGGUGAAAGCGGGGGAUCUUCGGACCUCGCGCUAUUGGAGCGGCCGAUGGCAGAUUAGCUAGUUGGUGGGGUAAAGGCCUACCAAGGCGACGAUCUGUAGCUGGUCUGAGAGGACGACCAGCCACACUGGGACUGAGACACGGCCCAGACUCCUACGGGAGGCAGCAGUGGGGAAUUUUGGACAAUGGGCGAAAGCCUGAUCCAGCAAUGCCGCGUGUGUGAUGAAGGCCUUCGGGUUGUAAAGCACUUUUGGCGGGAACGAAAAGGACUGUGCCAAUACCACGGUUCGAUGACGGUACCCGCAGAAUAAGCACCGGCUAACUACGUG